AGCGAACGCUGGCGGCAGGCCUAACACAUGCAAGUCGAACGAACCUUUCGGGGUUAGUGGCGGACGGGUGAGUAACACGUGGGAACGUGCCUUUAGGUUCGGAAUAACUCAGGGAAACUUGUGCUAAUACCGAAUGUGCCCUUCGGGGGAAAGAUUAAUCGCCUUUAGAGCGGCCCGCGUCUGAUUAGCUAGUUGGUUGAGGUAAUGGCUCACCAAGGCGACGAUCAGUAGCUGGUCUGAGAGGAUGAUCAGCCACAUUGGGACUGAGACACGGCCCAAAAUCCUACGGGAGGCAGCAGUGGGGACUCUUGCGCAAUGGGCGAAAGCCUGACGCAGCCAUGCCGCGUGAAUGAUGAAGGUCUUAGGAUUGUAAAAUUCUUUCACCGGGGACGAUAAUGACGGUACCCGGAGAAGAAGCCCCGGCUAACUUCGUG
rnacentral:rRNA from 1 species